rnacentral:rRNA from 1 species
GAUGAACGCUGGCGGCGUGCCUAAUACAUGCAAGUCGAGCGAACAGAUGAGGAGCUUGCUCCUCUGACGUUAGCGGCGGACGGGUGAGUAACACGUGGAUAACCUACCUAUAAGACUGGGAUAACUUCGGGAAACCGGAGCUAAUACCGGAUAAUAUAUUGAACCGCAUGGUUCAAUAGUGAAAGACGGUUUUGCUGUCACUUAUAGAUGGAUCCGCGCCGCAUUAGCUAGUUGGUAAGGUAACGGCUUACCAAGGCGACGAUGCGUAGCCGACCUGAGAGGGUGAUCGGCCACACUGGAACUGAGACACGGUCCAGACUCCUACGGGAGGCAGCAGUAGGGAAUCUUCCGCAAUGGGCGAAAGCCUGACGGAGCAACGCUGCGUGAGUGAUGAAGGUCUUCGGAUCGUAAAACUCUGUUAUUAGGGAAGAACAAAUGUGUAAGUAACUAUGCACGUCUUGACGGUACCUAAUCAGAAAGCCACGGCUAACUACGUG